rnacentral:rRNA from 1 species
ACCACCAGGGGUGGAGCCUGCGGCUUAAUUUGACUCAACACGGGGAAACUCACCAGGUCCAGACACAACGAGGAUUGACAGAUUGAGAGCUCUUUCUUGAUUUUGUGGGUGGUGGUGCAUGGCCGUUCUUAGUUGGUGGAGUGAUUUGUCUGCUUAAUUGCGAUAACGAACGAGACCUUAACCUGCUAAAUAGCCCGCGUCGC